rnacentral:tRNA from 1 species
GCCCUUUCGACUCAUCGGUAGAGUAGCGGCGUGGUGAGGCGUAAAUUGUCGGUUCAAAUCUGACAAAGGGCU